GGGAAUGUGGCCUAGUGGUAGAGUGCUUGCCUGGCAUGCAUGAGGCCCUGGGUUCGAUUCCUCAGUACCA
rnacentral:tRNA from 1 species